GAAUUGACGGGGGCCCGCACAAGCGGUGGAGCAUGUGGUUCAAUUCGACGCAACGCGAAGAACCUUACCUGGCCUUGACAUGCAGAGAACUUUCCAGAGAUGGAUUGGUGCCUUCGGGAACUCUGACACAGGUGCUGCAUGGCCGUCGUCAGCUCGUGUCGUGAGAUGUUGGGUUAAGUCCCGUAACGAGCGCAACCCCUAUCCCUAGUUGCUAGCAGUUCGGCUGAGAACUCUAGGGAGACUGCCGGUGACAAACCGGAGGAAGGUGGGGAUGACGUCAGGUCAUCAUGGCCCUUACGGCCAGGGCUACACACGUGCUACAAUGGUGCGCACAGAGGGCUGCAAACCCGCGAGGGGGAGCCAAUCUCACAAAACGCAUCGUAGUACCGGAUCGCAGUCUGCAACUCGACUGCGUGAAGUCGGAAUCGCUAGUAAUCGUGAAUCAGAAUGUCACGGUGAAUACGUUCCCGGGCCUUGUACACACCGCCCGUCACACCAUGGGAGUGGAUUGCACCAGAAGUGGUUAGUCUAACCUUCGGGAGGACGAUCACCACGGUGUGGUUCAUGACUGGGGUGAAGUCGUAACAAGGUAACC
rnacentral:rRNA from 1 species